GAGCAUUAAUAUUGAUGCCGAGAAGGGAGGCUGACCAAGCUCUCAGUCACUCACUCUCUCUCUCUUCCAUCUCUCUCUCUCUCUCCCCCCUCCCUCCCUCUUAUACCCACACCCUGGAUGCAGGCAGGCGUGCACACACCGGCAGAUUGACUCAGCUUCCGUGUCGCUCUCCCAGCUCCAUCUCUGAGUCUCCAUCCCUCCCUGCUCUCUCCUCUGGUGGAUUCUAGCCCACUGCUUUGUGGAAAACCGGUAAGAACAAAUCCUCUCUUUCACUGGCGUGUUUUUGAUUUCUUUCAGCCCUUGUGUUUCUUUCUGAUCUAAUUUCGCUGGAGUCUGACAAAGGAUUGGGGUGUGGCUGAGGAAAAAGGAGCCUGCUGCUGAUGGAAGCUUUGAAAUGAUGUGAAAACAGAAGGCUAUGGAUGAUGGUAAUGGUAAUACAGGAACAAUGGAGCACAUGCUUGAGAAUACAGUUGACGUUAUCGUUGUAAAUGUUAUUAAGACUUGGCAGGGCUGGAUUUGGACACCUUGGUAGCUUAUGAGAAAUGAUCCAUUGCACCUCAUUUCAAGGAUCUGCAUACUUAAAAUUCUGGCCAUGUGCCUGGCUUAACUACGUCUGUGUCGCACUGAAUCUUUUAGGCCCUAUUUAUGUUCUGACGAGUCAGAUUAGUUAAUUUUACAGCUCCUUGGUGUGCAGAUGACUGGCUACAGACUGGUGGGCUUGUCACAUUUUCACAGCAGCCCCUUCCAGAGCAGUGGCUCAAAGAGGCAUGACUGGGCCCGACUGUGCAAGACAGAUUAGUCAGACCUGAGGCUAGGUCAGGAAUAUGACUGCAGUGGAGCCUGUGGCGGAGCACUGCCCAGAUCCAGCAGGCUGCAGGGGUGGAUGCAGAGAGAGAAAGAGGGAGAGAGAGGGAGAGGAUGCAGAGGGAGAGAACAAAGAACUCAGCCUAGGAAGGAGAGAAAAUGUAGAGACAAAGAAGAUCAGGCAGAUGGGUAAAAAUAGGCACAUGUUAGCUACAUAGGCAUUUUGGUGGGAAGAAAAUCAAGGCAGAGCAUGAGUGGGAGGUGGCCACCACGCACAGGCGUGAAUGUGAAUGUGUCUGCACAUAAAGGGAGUGGCUACAACAUGUGCUGCUUGGAUGGAUACAAAGACAGAGAAAUCAUUUUUAAUUUUAUACAAAAAGACGAAAAAGGAGUCUUUAUUAUGACUAUUCCAAAAAGGCCAUUGUACUGUAGAAUACACUUUUAGAAAUAUUUAUGAAGGAUCUUAUAUCUCAUUCUAUAUUUCACUGUCUAAUCUCUGCCAUGGCUGACAGGAAAGGUCAAACCUCUGUGCUGAGGUUUUUUAUUUUCUUUUGCAGCCAAAAUGUCUGACAAGCCUGACAUGACUGAAAUCGCUCGCUUCGACAAGACAAAGCUGAAGAAGACAGAGACAAAAGAAAAAAACCCUUUGCCCACCAAAGAGAGUGAGUGUCCCUCAUGUCUACAGCAUGUGUACAUGUGUGUGUAUGUAUGUGUGUGUGUUUCUAGGCAGAAUUAGAGCCUCAAUUCCCUGCAACAAUUUUCCUGUCAGUAGCUACUCAUCACCUCCAGUGCUGUCAGAGGAAUACAUGCUCAGCAAGCAGAGCAGCAAAAAGCAAAUAGCUGCAACAUCAGCAAAUCAUUGAUAUUCAGGACAAAAAAAACAAAAGCACCAUUUCUCUGCUGCGUUGCCCAACAACAAAUUCAAGCCUGCUGACCCAUAAUCUCUUUUCUUUUUUCAGCAAUUGAGCAAGAGAGAAAAGGCGACGCCACACCUUGACUUCAGAGCACAUGAAGAAAAGAAGCUGAGAUGCGACAGCAAAAAAAGCACUUUCUUUUGAUUAUCACAGUAUUUCAAUCUCUUGCGUUGUCUUCAGAAUAAGGGUGCUCUUAAGCUCCCUGGGGUGCUGUAAGGGGUAUAUGGCAUCUUCACAUGGGGGCUCUCUUACCACUAUAGGGUGAAAAAAAAACUUUAGUCUGGGUGCCUAUCUAGCACUGUUAGCUUUGAGCUAGCAUAUCUCAAAUGUUGCCAAACUGGGGAGUGGUGUGGAGGUGGUGUAGCACAGAUAGAUGGGCAGGCACCCAGGCUAGGGGGAGGUGGGGUGGUGUGGGGGGUGAGGACAGGGGAGCAUUCUGAGUCUAAUCAUGUGGGAUGUUUUCUUAAAAAAACUUUUUACUUUUCUUUAUGAAAUAAAUAUGAAGACAUUCAACCAGAUUUUCCUGCAUAGUCCUCUUUCUUUUGUGACUGUAUUAAAGUGAUACACGCGCCAACAGGGCGAGGACCGAUUAUACAAAGCCAGGGAAUUAAAAAUCAAUCAAAUGA
rnacentral:lncRNA from 1 species